CCUACGGGAGGCUGCAGUGGGGGAUAUUGCACAAUGGGGGAAACCCUGAUCCAGCGACGCCGCGUGGGUGAAGAAGCGCCUCGGCGCGUAAAGCCCUGUCAGCAGGGAAGAAAAUUACGGUACCUGUAGAAGAAGCCCCGGCUAACUACGUUCCAGCUGCGCGGGUAAUGCGUGGGGGGCAAGCGUUAUCCGGAUUUACUGGGUUUAAGGGGGGCUCAGAGGGCGAUGCAAGCCAGGAGUGAAAGCCCGGGGCCCAAGCCCGGGCGUGCCCUUGAAACUGCGUGGCGAGAGUGCAGGAGGGGUAGGCGGAAUUCGUGGUGUAGCGGUGAAAUGCGUAGAUAUCAGGAAGAACACCGAUGGCGAAGGCGUCCUGCUGGACCGCAACUGACGUUGAGGCCCGAAAGCGUGGGGAGCAAACAGGAUUAGAUACCCGGGUAGUC
rnacentral:rRNA from 1 species